CAAGUCGUAACAAAGUAAGUGUACUGGAAAGUGUAUUCAGAUAG
rnacentral:rRNA from 1 species